rnacentral:rRNA from 1 species
UACGGGGGGGGCAAGCGUUGUUCGGAAUUACUGGGCGUAAAGGGCUCGUAGGCGGCCAACUAAGUCAUACGUGAAAUCCCUCGGCUUAACCGGGGAACUGCGUCUGAUACUGGAUGGGUUGAGUUCGGGAGAGGGAUGCGGAAUUCCAGGUGUAGCGGUGAAAUGCGUAGAUAUCUGGAGGAACACCGGUGGCGAAGGCGGCAUCCUGGACCGAUACUGACGCUGAGGAGCGAAAGCCAGGGGAGCAAACGGG